GUGUUGUGCGUCGCCUUUUUAGCAUUAUUUUUCCAAUCCAGUGGUCCCCGCAACAAUAUGAUGCUCCUUAACGAGGGCCCCUGACGAACUUCAGUGCCUGCCCCACCUUGGCCGUGCCCCCAGCCUCGGAGCUGGGUCCGGGUUGGGGCUGCCCUGGCUUCUGUCACUCAGUGGGCUCUGAUAGCGCUCACAGCCCUCCCCAGGCUUGGGUGCGGAUCCCUGCGUGUGUCUGGCUAAUAGCAGCCAACGGGGACUUCUGCAAAAGUGUUUUUGCUUAAAAUAGGCCGCUCGCUGCUUCUCACACAAUUGACGGGCCUAAAAACGGGGCAAAGGAGGAGUUAAAAAUGUUUGCUGAUACUGAGUCUGUCAGGAGAACUUUGAUAACAACAGCGUUCAGUAAUGUGAAGUAAAAGAUGGUGUCUGUCUCACACACAGUUCUGUAUUUUCAUAUUUGGGGAGCAGUGACUGAACUGGAUGACCUUCUCACUGAGGAGUGACAAUGUGAUACAGAGAGGGUAUCCUCACUAAUGAAUGAAAGCAAAUGCUUUAGUUCAGAUCUCCUUAUGUUACAUUUUGCACCGCAUUUCUCAAGUAUUUUUAAUUUAUUCAGCUUAUUUUGCUGUGCCUUUUAUAGUAUUUGUAUGUUGUUUGGAAGGGGGCUUGUGUGCACCGUAGCGCUGGACACUUAGCUGAUCU